AACGAACGCUGGCGGCAUGCCUAACACAUGCAAGUCGAACGAGACCUUCGGGUCUAGUGGCGCACGGGUGCGUAACGCGUGGGAACCUGCCCUUAGGUUCGGAAUAACUCCCCGAAAGGGGUGCUAAUACCGGAUAAUGUCUUCGGACCGAAGAUUUAUCGCCUUUGGAUGGGCCCGCGUUGGAUUAGCUGGUUGGUAGGGUAAAAGCCUACCAAGGCGACGAUGCAUAGCUGGUCUGAGAGGAUGAUCAGCCACACUGGUACUGAGACACGGCCCAGACUCCUACGGGAGGCAGCAGUGGGGAAUAUUGGACAAUGGGCGAAAGCCUGAUCCAGCAAUGCCGCGUGAGUGAUGAAGGCCUUAGGGUUGUAAAGCUCUUUUACCCGGGAUGAUAAUGACAGUACCGGGAGAAUAAGCUCCGGCUAACUCCGUG
rnacentral:rRNA from 1 species